GGGCAUGGCGCAGCUACACAUGCAGUCGAGCGGAGAUGAGGUGCUUGCACCUUAUCUUAGCGGCGGACGGGUGAGUAAUGCUUAGGAAUCUGCCUAUUAGUGGGGGACAACAUUCCGAAAGGAAUGCUAAUACCGCAUACGUCCUACGGGAGAAAGCAGGGGAUCUUCGGACCUUGCGCUAAUAGAUGAGCCUAAGUCGGAUUAGCUAGUUGGUGGGGUAAAGGCCUACCAAGGCGACGAUCUGUAGCGGGUCUGAGAGGAUGAUCCGCCACACUGGGACUGAGACACGGCCCAGACUCCUACGGGAGGCAGCAGUGGGGAAUAUUGGACAAUGGGGGGAACCCUGAUCCAGCCAUGCCGCGUGUGUGAAGAAGGCCUUAUGGUUGUAAAGCACUUUAAGCGAGGAGGAGGCUACUGAGACUAAUACUCUUGGAUAGUGGACGUUACUCGCAGAAUAAGCACCGGCUAACUCUGUGCCAGCAGCCGCGGUAAUACAGAGGUGCGAGCGUUAAUCGGAUUUACUGGGCGUAAAGCGUGCGUAGGCGGCUUUUUAAGUCGGAUGUGAAAUCCCCGAGCUUAACUUGGGAAUUGCAUUCGAUACUGGGAAGCUAGAGUAUGGGAGAGGAUGGUAGAAUUCCAGGUGUAGCGGUGAAAUGCGUAGAGAUCUGGAGGAAUACCGAUGGCGAAGGCAGCCAUCUGGCCUAAUACUGACGCUGAGGUACGAAAGCAUGGGGAGCAAACAGGAUUAGAUACCCUGGUAGUCCAUGCCGUAAACGAUGUCUACUAGCCGUUGGGGCCUUUGAGGCUUUAGUGGCGCAGCUAACGCGAUAAGUAGACCGCCUGGGGAGUACGGUCGCAAGACUAAAACUCAAUGUAAAUUUUCCCGGAGAAAAAUACGACCGCAGGUGAAAGCAAUAAUAACUCUGCUCUCGGGA
rnacentral:rRNA from 1 species